UAAGACGAACCGUGCGAACGUUAUUCGGAAUCAUUGGGCUUAAAGCGCGUGUAGGCGGAUGGGAACGUCGGCUUUGAAAGCCCCCGGCUCAACCGGGGAAUUGGCGCCGAAACGACCCGUCUGGAGGGGCAUAGGGGGAGCUGGAACUUCCGGUGGAGCGGUGAAAUGCGUUGAGAUCGGAAGGAACGCCCGUGGCGAAAGCGAGCUCCUGGAUGUCUUCUGACGCUGAGACGCGAAAGCUAGGGUAGCGAACGGG
rnacentral:rRNA from 1 species